rnacentral:rRNA from 1 species
ACGGAAGGCAGCAGUAGGGAAUCUUGCGCAAUGGGCGAAAGCCUGACGCAGCGACGCCGCGUGAGCGAUGAAGGCCUUCGGGUUGUAAAGCUCUUUCAGCAGGGACGAAGCGAAAGUGACGGUACCUGCAGAAGAAGGUCCGGCCAACUACGUGCCAGCAGCCGCGGUAAUACGUAGGGACCGAGCGUUGUCCGGAUUUAUUGGGCGUAAAGAGCUCGUAGGCGGCCGAUCACGUCGGAUGUGAAAGCUCAAGGCUCAACCUUGAGAGGCCAUUCGAUACGGAUCGGCUAGAGGUAGGUAGGGGAAAGUGGAAUUCCUGGUGUAGCGGUGAAAUGCGCAGAUAUCAGGAGGAACACCGGUGGCGAAGGCGGCUUUCUGGGCCUUACCUGACGCUGAGGAGCGAAAGCUGGGGGAGCGAACAGGAUUAGAUACCCUGGUA